AGCUGUUAUAAACGUCCAAUAGAAAGCCACAUUUUCAGACUCUUCGACUCCUUAGUUAGAUUUAAUCGCCGCCCUUUAGUUUGGGUUAUAUUUUACCACAUAAAGUCAGGGUUUGAUCACUUGAGUUCGGGUGCCAUCUUGAGUAAAGCUUGAAAGCGGUUAUUCAAAGGUUUUCAAAGAAACUUUGCAUUUGUUUCAUUGCCCUUGGUGCAAACCAUGAAGACUGCAAUUUGUGUGUUCAUCAUCGCUCUGCUGAUCCUAUCUGCGAACGGGUUGCUUUUCGGUAAGAGAAGUAUUGAAAUGCCUCACGAAGAGAAUGAAUCGACAGAAAUAGGAGACCAAGAUAGAGCGCUUCGCAAAGACCCGGAUUUGAAUGCGGCUGCGCUCGAUGAGCGUCUUAAGUUACACCGAGAAAACGUUGCCGGGACAUCAGCAUCAUUUUAAGGCAAGUUGUAUCAGAAACGUCAGAGUAAAGUCCAAGACUGAGAAACGACAAGUGUUUCAUUGGUGUGGUGCCUGGGAAAAUAAGGGUGUGGUGUAAUCUUUUUAAGGGUUCAAAAUAAAGUUGUUAAAACAUA